UACGUAGGGUGCAAGCGUUAAUCGGAAUUACUGUGCGUAAAGCGUGCGCAGGCGGUUCGGAAAGAGAGGUGUGAAAUCCCAGGGCUUAACCUUGGAACUGCACUUCUAACUACCGGGCUAGAGUACGUCAGAGGGGGGUAGAAUUCCACGUGUAGCAGUGAAAUGCGUAGAGAUGUGGAGGAAUACCGAUGGCGAAGGCAGCCCCCUGGGAUGAUACUGACGCUCAUGCACGAAAGCGUGGGGAGCAAACAGG
rnacentral:rRNA from 1 species